rnacentral:rRNA from 1 species
AUUGAACGAUGGCGGCAGGCUUAACACAUGCAAGUCGAACGAGUGGCGGACGGGUGAGUAAUGCUUGGGAAUCUGGCUUAUGGAGGGGGAUAACGACGGGAAAAUGUCGCUAAUACCGCGUACCAUAGGAUGAGCACAAUUGGGAUUAGGUAGUUGGUGGGGUAAUGGCCAACCAAGGCGACGAUGUAGAGCUGGUCUGAGAGGAUGACCAGCCACACCGUGACGGAGCGACGGCCCGGACUCCUACGGGAGGCAGCAGUGGGGAAUAUUUCGCAAUGGGGGCAACCCUGACGCAGCCAUGCCGCGUGAAUGAAGAAGGCCUUCGGGUUGUAAAGUUCUUUCGGUAUUGAGGCGUUAAAUACAGAAGAAGCACCGGCUAACUCCGUGCCAGCAGCCGCGGUAAUUC